UGGUAAUCUUAAUUAUGCAUGUAUAUAUCCACACAUAUAUCUGUAUGCACCAUUUCUUCUCCUUAAAUAAUGAGCAAAAGUUUGCAUGGUCACACAUACAGAAACUAUUAACACAUAUGUUUUUAAAAACAUUUAUUUUAUAGACAGAUAUCUCUACAGAUAGCUAGAUAGAUAGCUAGAUAUAGAUAGAUAUACACCAUUUUUUUUAAUUUUCACAUAUAUUUUAUGUGAUAUGUUCAUUUCAUCAUCUUCCUGAAAAUGGGAUGUUAUGUUCUCCGUUUCCCUGCUUCAUAUUCAACAUAUUUGCUUGGGAACAUUUCUUAAAAAAACCCCAAAACAAAACAAAAAAAAACCCAACUCAGCUCAUCUCUGCAUUUGAGAGCUACUGGAGACAUUGAUCUGUACAGUAAAGGAAGUCAAGCAAUAAAUACCAGUCUCAGAAAGCAAACAUACUGUGUAGUAGGAUGGCAAACAAGGCUGAUUGUUAAAAUCAUUUGAAGACUAUGCACAAGAGUGAAAAUAACUUGGCAUGUGAAGACCCAGCUCAGUAUUAUUUCUGUCUCUCCACUCCAUUUUCUACAUUCCGCUUUUCUAGUUUUAGAUGUCUUAGUUUCUGUAUUUAAUGCACAAAUUUCUAUUUCUCCAUUUUCUUUCCCGUGCUAGAAGAACAUCGCUUAGAGGCAUUACAUCUUACACAUAUGUACUCAUACAUAUUGUAUGGUCCGGACAUAAAAUUUAAUAGUAGUAUAGUGCUACUGCAGUCACAACCACAAGCAUUCGUAGCAUACAUGAAAACAGUGUCUCAAAACCCCACGUUUGUGAAUUCAGGACUGCAUACUUGUGGGAUUCAAGAUUUUCAGAAUGACCACAGGAGGGGAAAAGCACAGAAAGGUUAGAAUAACUUAGACUGAGUGUGCAGACACAUGAUAUUUAAUGGGUUCUUAAGGAGAUGGAGUUUCCUACUUAAAUCUGUCAAAAACAAAAAACAAAAACAACAACAACAACAACAACUGAAAGAGAAGGAGGUGGGCUUCUGCGUAGGGGAGAGUGGGGGAGGGGGUGUUCGGUGUCUGGGUAAACAACAAUUAAGAAACUGUAUGGGAAAAACAAAAAACAAAAACAGGCAAUCCCCUUCCACCCCUUUCCACACACACACACACACACACCUCUGUCUUACUUUUUCCUCUCCUGUGUUUCUAACCAAACACAUGCAACAGCUGGAUGCUGCUGAAUCAGUCUCUUGGGCAGGAAGUUACAUUUCCUGGCAAGCUGCUCUUGAAAUGUGGACAGUCAGUUAGAAAAACAUGAUUACAGGAUGACAAUCACACACACACACACAUCCACACAAAUAUGUCCACUCACACUCCUUACUGUGCACACUGUGUUAAAUAUCUGUGUGUAUAGCUUGGUAAAUGACAGCUUCCCAAACUGAUACUGAGCAUGUAAACAAACUCCGCUGGUGUUUAUAACACUGACCAGCCUACGCGCACACAUACAUGGAUGUGAAUACACCCACCCACAAGUGUCCUCACAUGCCUCACUGAC
ensembl:lncRNA